UACAUGGGGUGCAAACGUUGCUCGGAAUUAUUGGGCGUAAAGCGCGCGUAGGCGGUUUGUCGCGUCUGCUGUGAAAACUCGGGGCUUAACUCCGGGCCUGCAGUGGGUACGGGCAGACUAGAGUGCGGUAGGGGAGACUGGAAUUCCUGGUGUAGCGGUGAAAUGCGCAGAUAUCAGGAGGAACACCGGUGGCGAAGGCGGGUCUCUGGGCCGUAACUGACGCUGAGGAGCGAAAGCGUGGGGAGCGAACAGG
rnacentral:rRNA from 1 species